GGGGAUAACUACUGGAAACGGUAGCUAAUACCGCAUAACGUCGCAAGACCAAAGAGGGGGACCUUCGGGCCUCUUGCCAUCGGAUGUGCCCAGAUGGGAUUAGCUAGUAGGUGGGGUAAAGGCUCACCUAGGCGACGAUCCCUAGCUGGUCUGAGAGGAUGACCAGCCACACUGGAACUGAGACACGGUCCAGACUCCUACGGGAGGCAGCAGUGGGGAAUAUUGCACAAUGGGCGCAAGCCUGAUGCAGCCAUGCCGCGUGUAUGAAGAAGGCCUUCGGGUUGUAAAGUACUUUCAGCGGGGAGGAAGGGAGUAAAGUUAAUACCUUUGCUCAUUGACGUUACCCGCAGAAGAAGCACCGGCUAACUCCGUGCCAGCAGCCGCGGUAAUACGGAGGGUGCAAGCGUUAAUCGGAAUUACUGGGCGUAAAGCGCACGCAGGCGGUUUGUUAAGUCAGAUGUGAAAUCCCCGGGCUCAACCUGGGAACUGCAUCUGAUACUGGCAAGCUUGAGUCUCGUAGAGGGGGGUAGAAUUCCAGGUGUAGCGGUGAAAUGCGUAGAGAUCUGGAGGAAUAC
rnacentral:rRNA from 1 species